ensembl:snRNA U6 U6 spliceosomal RNA
GUGAUCCCUUCGGCAGCACAUGUACUAAAAUUGGAAUGAUACAGGGAAAAUUAGCAUGGCCCCUGCACAAGGAUAAUAUGCAAAUUUGUGAAGCGUUCCAUAUUUUU